CCCCCCGUAGCUCAGUGGUAGAGCAGCAGACUUUUAAUCUGUUGAUGUUGGUCCGAUUCCAACCGGGGGGA
rnacentral:tRNA from 1 species